rnacentral:rRNA from 1 species
GACAGAGGUGCCGAGCGUUAGGCGGAAUCACUGGGCUUAAAGCGUGUGUAGGCGGAUUUGUAAGUACCUUGUGAAAUCCCACGGCUCAACCGUGGAACUGCUUGGUAUACUGCUUAUCUUGAGCCACUUAGGGGCAGUCGGAACAGACGGUGGAGCGGUGAAAUGCGUAGAUAUCAGGAAGAACACCGGUGGCGAAGGCGGCUCUCUGGGCCUUACCUGACGCUGAGGAGCGAAAGCGUGGGUAGCGAACAGG